rnacentral:ncRNA from 1 species
CGUCUCCUCCAUUACUCCUCCAAGAGUAUGGAUUUCAGCCCGCUCCUUGAGCGGGCUUUUUUUU